rnacentral:snRNA from 1 species
GCAUGUGAGGACCAUCUCGCUGGACAUCUGUCACCCCAUUGAUCGCCAGGGUUGAUUCCGCUGAAAUGGCUGUCUAGGCCGGUGUCCCCUUCCUCCCUCACUGCUCCAUGUACAUCCCUCCCGAAGCUGCAUACUAGGCAGAAAAGGAUGGUGUUCCCAGAAUAGAGAUGGACCGGUCUUUGGUCGAGGGUGUACAAGUAGCUGUGAGGGUAUACGAGUAUGCACUCCCCUGCUAGAAUCUCCAAACAAGCUCCCAAGAAAAAGAAAGACUGUCUAGAUUACUUAGACAGGCAUAACAUUUAGUAAGGUUUACAUGUUACAGUUCAAGCUGACAUAUACU